rnacentral:lncRNA from 1 species
GGUAACGGUCCUUCUGAAAUUCAGUCAUCUUCUUUCCUGCCCCUUUUUUACAGGUUACUUGGAGUCACAACAGCCAGCACAGCAUUUCCACGGGACCCGCUCCAGCACACAGAGAGAAGGGCAGAGCCUCCCAGACCUCAGCACAGCUUUGGUGCCACAGGAGAGGAGUCCUUGGGGUGGCGAUCUCCCAGCCUUUAUAUAUAAUAAAGUAGUGCCCUCUGUUGGGAAGCUUUCCAGACAAAACCUGGUCUCAUGGCUGCAUCCAGUGUCUGAGGCAUCCUAUGGCCUCAUAACCUCAGAUGGUGGAGAGAUGACUGUAUAA